GCCGAAGUGGCGGAAUCGGUAGACGCGCUACGUUCAGGGCGUAGUGAGCCUUGCGCUCGUGUGAGUUCGAGUCUCACCUUCGGCACCA
rnacentral:tRNA from 1 species